rnacentral:rRNA from 1 species
UACGAGUUGUGCAAACGUUAUUCGGAAUCACUGGGCUUAAAGGGUGCGUAGGCGGGCAGGCAGGUCAGAUGUGAAAUCCCACGGCUCAACCGUGGAAUUGCGUUUGAAACCGCAUGUCUUGAGGGGGUCAGAGGAGAGCGGAACUGAUGGUGGAGCGGUGAAAUGCGUUGAUAUCAUCAGGAACACCGGUGACGAAAGCGGCUCUCUGGGACCUUUCUGACGCUGAGGCACGAAAGCCAGGGGAGCGAACGGG